GGUCACUUCAGCAAUAUCAAGCAUGGACAGAUGUGCUGAAUGUGUGGGACCUGUUGCGGCACUGAAGUGGAUUGGCCUGAGAUGUAAAUUGUGCUCCAGUUUUUGGCACAAGUCCUGUUAUACAAAGUUUCACAAAUGGACUAGAAAACAGUCAUCACUGAUGAGAUCAGUAUUACAGAUUCUGAUGCCAGUGAUCCUGAUGAGAGCGAGUCUGAGGAUGAUGCUCCUGCUGGAGCUGUAGGUGUCUCCAGUGAUUUUGAUGUUCAGAAGAUGCCCAUCGAGGAAGCCACUGAAUUUUCGAAAGGUACCUGAGGUUAAAUUUGGAACACAACCAUCAUUGUAAGUACAUGUGGUCUCAUAUAGUUGGAGCUUUCUAAUGUAUUAAUUAUUCUGUACAGCGAAUGAGAGUGAGGCAGAAAUUGAAAACACACGCAGAGGAUAAAAAGUGUGCUGGUCGAAUGCGGAAAUUAGCGCUGUAAUGAAACAUUUUAAGGCACAUAUAAGCAAAGGGAAACUGGCCACACUGACUGAAUGCCAGCAGUGUAAGACAGCUGAAGAUCCUGUUUUGGCAAGGCGCAGUGCUGAAAACAUCAGAGAUUUUGUCAGAAAUCGUGGAAUUAGUUUAAAAAGGAAAGCCCAAAUCAAGUAAAGUUACAUGUCUUAUUUGAUGUUGCGCUAUUUUGAUUAUUACUAUGCUUGGUUUUUUUCAUACUAUAGUAAGAAACUUAUGGCAACAGUAGUUUGUGAGCAAAAGGCAAUUCUGUUAG